rnacentral:lncRNA from 9 species
AAAGUAGAGAUGGCUAAGACCUGGCAGCAGGGCUGAAGGGGGAGUCAGUCAUUCCUGCAUGGGUGCAGAGGUCCUAUGAGUUAUGAGGAGAAAGGUUGUUACGGACAGUGGUGCAAAGUACGUAGCAUCGGGAAGGCCUGCUCUCCCUCCCCCUGCCUGAGUCUCCUAUUGCCAAAGUAUUCCAAAGAGAAGCAUUACGUAUCUAAGAAGAGAAAAGAGGUGAAGCAUUGCGGAGGAUGGAGCGUGAACACAGGAGCACCCUGUGGAAAGAGUAGGGAAGCUGAAAUGAUCUCCUGCCAUUUCAGCAGAUGGAGGAAUGUGGCCGGAGGUGAAAAUGGGCAGGAGGACUCGGGAGGCUCUCUCGUGGCAGCAGAGCCGGCAUGCUCGUGUUGGCCAUUUCUCAGCUGGGGAAUGUGCCACGGAGAGGUUCCCUUUAGCAAGAGAGGCAGAGGCUCCCUUUCUCAGGUCUUUCAGGGUGCUGUCUGCCUUCCUCCGAAACGUUUACCCAGGAGGAUGGGCCAGGAGGAGCUCCGUCCGUGCUUCAUCCCCCUGCCCCCCCUCGACUCCCAGCCCAUGUCCGGUCAGGUGAGGCACCCAGAGUACCUCAUGAGCAGCACCACCGCCUUGCUGACAGUGCCUGUGUGUCCCCCUAGCAACCCCCGACGAUGUUGUGGAGGCCGGUGGGAGUGAGAAGACCAAGGAGGAGGCCCUGGCUGGGGAAACUGAGGAGGAGAUGGGGCUGGGGACUGUGAAGGCGGAGGAGGAGGAGGAAAAGGAGGAAGCUGCAGCCAUAGACAAGGCGGAGGAGGAGGCGGGCCCGGCCCAUGAAAAUGACAAGGAGGAGUCGCCAGCCAGCGACCGGGCUGAGCAGGAAGACAAGCCUGCCCCCAAGGUGGACGGGACGGACGAUGAAAGCUGUGAGUAUUCUGGAACCCUGCUCUGCUGAGGAGAAGUCCAGGUGUUGAGGAAGGGAGGGGGGCUUUCCUGCUCCUUUGGUUGCAGAGACACCCUGAUUCUGGGUUCCUCCUGGGAAUGAGGGUGAAGGAUGGGGUGAAAGAGACAGACUUCCCACUGAAGGGCCACCCCAGGUUCUAGGGUCCCUGGACAAAAGGAGGCUCUUUGUAUGGUGUGGGUAGGUGUCCAGGACCAUUGGGCGGGGUGUGUGUGUGUGGGGGGGGGCUGUUGGUGUGAUUGGGAAUCAGUGUGAGUGGGUGUGUUUUGUGGGGAGCCGUUUGUGGCUUAGCACCACAUAGCUGUCCAGUUUCUAAUUGAAGAGUCUCAUGAUGACCGCAGGCUAACUGUCCAUUCCCUCGUUCUGCCCGCACCGGCUGGGAGCAAGGUUUUGGGGGAAAGGCAUUCCUUCCUUCCUCCGUUGGUCUUUCUUUUCCUUUUUGCUUCCCUCUCUGCCUUGUGUGGACUUUCAUACCGUUGUUUCAAACAUGUGCCAGGGACUCGAGCCUCUUCAGGUUGUGAGUGUCCGGAGGAGUGUUGUGAACGCUGUGCUCCACCCGCACCUCCUGCCCACUCUGGGCAGCCACCCUUCCAGCCUCUGCUCAGGAGUGGUCUGUCAGACACUUGAUGCGCAUGACAUCAGAGAGUCUUUGUCCUUCUGUGUCUGUCUUGCUUCGCUUGAAAUGAUGUCCUCCAGUGAGUUCCUGUCGAGGCUCAGUGGUCAUGAACCCGACUGGUAUCUCUGAGGACGCGGGUUCGACCCUUGGCCUUGCUCAGUGGGGGAAGAAUCCAGCGUUGCGGUGAGCUGUGGCAGAGGUCCCAGGCGUGCGCGCAGCUGGUUUCCAGCUUUGCUGCGGCUGGGGUGUCAGCCGGUGGCUACAGCUCUGAUUUGCCGCCUCGCCUGGGAAUUUCCAUAUGCCGCGGGGGCAGCCCUCAAACCCCGAAACGAAUCGAUCAGUAAUGUCCUCCAGUUCUCUGUGCAUUGCUGCAAUGGGUAGGGUUUCCACCUUCUGUGGAAACGGAACGCCUUUCUGUUGUCUGUAUCCACCCCGUCGUCUUUCUCAGUGUGUGCGCCCGUGGACACUGAGGCUCUGUUUCUGUUGGGCUCUUGUGUAUGGCGCUGCCGUGAUCCUGGGGUGGCAGGUCUCUUUACCCGACACCGAUGGUUCUUCCUUUAGAUGGUCCACGCAGCGGUGGGAUUGCAGGGUCCCGUGAUAGGCCUAUGGGCAGCUUUCCUGAGGACCUGCCAUCGUGUGUCCCGUCCUGGCUGGGCCAGCUGACCUUCCCUCCUACAGGGUACAGAAGUCCCAGGUAGUCACAUCUUCCCAAACACCUGUUCACGCUUGAAAACACUCCGCGUCCUGACAGGUGGGAGGUGAUACCUCAUUGUGCCUUUGCUUUGCCUUUCCGUUGUGGCAGGUGACUUUGGGAAACAUUCCCUGUGUGUGCGGCUCUCUGUUGUCGUCUUGGACGGAGGGUCUCUCCCAGGCUUCUGCUCAUCUACAACUGAGUUAUUUGCGUUUUGAUUCAGUUGACUUGUCGUUGUUUCCCAUAGAUUCUGGACAUGAGCCCUUGUUCCAAAUGUAAGGUUUGCAGAUAGUGUCUUCUGCGGGUUGUCUUUCCAUUCAGUGGCUCGUUAGACCCUGUCCUUUCUGUUUGUCUCUGUGUUCAUUGAGGUGCCGUGUUGUUUCAUUUUCUGCUGUGUAGCAACAUUCCCCAGGCUGUGUGUGCAUAAACACAGGUUCCUGUUUGACUGUUAUCGUCCGUCCCGGUCGAUUUCAGGAGAUCGGAUCUAGUUCCCCGUGCGCUGCAACAGGAGGACCUCGUCGUCUCUCCAUUCUCAAUGCCGUAGUUGGCAUCGACUCCCCCAAACUCCCAGUCCAUCGCCCUCACAACCACAAGUCUAUUCUCUGUGUCCGUGGGUUUUGUGGACAGGUUCCUUUGUGCCAUGGUUUAGAUUCCACAUCUAAGUGAAAUCAGGUGGUAUCCGUCUAUCUCUUUCUCACGUCCUUCGCUUUGUAUGAGAAUCUCUCGAUCCAUCCCUAUUGUUUUGAAGGGCAUUGGUUUCUUCUUUGAUUUUCUGGCUGAGUCGUGAAUUCCAUCGUAUAUGUGGACCACAUCGUCGGAUCCAUUCGUCUGUCUGGGGACAUGAGGUGGCUUCCCUGUCUUGGCUGUUGUGAGUAGUGCCGCCAUAAACACACAGGGGCAUAUAGUCUUUUGCCUGGAUACGUUUGUCCUGAUAUUUUCCAGGGCGCUCGCUCGACUUGCUGGGUGCCAUGCUGUGCUAUGUUCAGUUUUCGGAGGCCCCUCCGUGGUGUCUUCCGUAGUGGUUGUACCAGUGUACAUUUGCACCGGCAGUGCUGGGGGGACGCCUUUUCUCCACCCGUGUCUGCGACCGACACCAGAGCUCGCGGCAGCGCUGGAUCCUUAACCCCCUCAGCGAGGCCAGGGAUCAACCCCGCAAGCUCGUGGUUCCUAGUCGGAUUCGUUUCCGCUGUGCCCCGACGGGACCUCCUGGGUCGUUUCGUUGUUGCUGCGGUGAGGUGUAUGAGUUUUCUUUAUGUAUGUUUUGGAGAGGAACCUCACGGGCAGUGGUACCUUUCUCCUCAGUGUUUCUGUAGAGCUGCUUGCAGUCCACAGUGUGGCAGCCACUGGCCAGAGGGAGCCAUUUAUGUUUGAUUGAAUUCAAUCCGUAGUUAGGUCUGCCUCUUGCAGUGAACACAACAAAGCAGCCAGUGGUUCACUCACACACGCCACCACGCAAGUGUGUCCAUGCAGCUUGAAUUUCAACCUGGAGCUGAGACCUCCAGAUGGACUCCUAGAAGGGUGACGUGUAAAGCUGCAUCCCUCAGCAGCCCACGAUCUUGGCAGGUUUGCCACUGUGACCAAUGUUUUAUUGAAGCUUCUGAGGCCGUAGAGCACAGGGAAGUUCCGAGCACACAGAGGACAAGCCAGGGCGGUGCUGUGUGGCCCAAAACAACCUUAAGGAGACAUGAGUGGGGGACGGUUUCUGACACCUUGAUUCCUCAUGUCUGUGUUUCUGCAGUGUGGAGCAUUGUGAGUCUGUGUGGCAGCAACCACGAAGAAAGUGAUACAGACUUGGUGGCGGAGAGCACCGACUGCCGCCAGGAUGAGGAGGCUGCAGAAUCUUGCUUUGGGAGGAAAGGAUCUUGCUGCAGGAGUCUGAGGAUAUGUUUGUCCUCUGCGAGCUUGGCUAGAAUAAUUCCCCGGUGGCCACACAACAGGGUGCACCUUGCCACUGAGCCAGACAAAGAUACUGUGGAACCUGACUCAGUACAUUCAGCAACCCCCGACGAUGUUGUGGAGGCCGGUGGGAGUGAGAAGACCAAGGAGGAGGCCCUGGCUGGGGAAACUGAGGAGGAGAUGGGGCUGGGGACUGUGAAGGCGGAGGAGGAGGAGGAAAAGGAGGAAGCUGCAGCCAUAGACAAGGCGGAGGAGGAGGCGGGCCCGGCCCAUGAAAAUGACAAGGAGGAGUCGCCAGCCAGCGACCGGGCUGAGCAGGAAGACAAGCCUGCCCCCAAGGUGGACGGGACGGACGAUGAAAGCUGUGAGUAUUCUGGAACCCUGCUCUGCUGAGGAGAAGUCCAGGUGUUGAGGAAGGGAGGGGGGCUUUCCUGCUCCUUUGGUUGCAGAGACACCCUGAUUCUGGGUUCCUCCUGGGAAUGAGGGUGAAGGAUGGGGUGAAAGAGACAGACUUCCCACUGAAGGGCCACCCCAGGUUCUAGGGUCCCUGGACAAAAGGAGGCUCUUUGUAUGGUGUGGGUAGGUGUCCAGGACCAUUGGGCGGGGGGUGUGUGUGUCGGGGGGGGGGCUGUUGGUGUGAUUGGGAAUCAGUGUGAGUGGGUGUGUUUUGUGGGGAGCCGUUUGUGGCUUAGCACCACAUAGCUGUCCAGUUUCUAAUUGAAGAGUCUCAUGAUGCCCGCAGGCUAACUUGCUUCGCUUGAAAUGAUGUCCUCCAGCGAGUUCCUGUCGAGGCUCAGUGGUCAUGAACCCGACUGGUAUCUCUGAGGACGCGGGUUCGACCCUUGGCCUUGCUCAGUGGGGGAAGAAUCCAGCGUUGCGGUGAGCUGUGGCAGAGGUCCCAGGCGUGCGCGCAGCUGGUUUCCAGCUUUGCUGCGGCUGGGGUGUCAGCCGGUGGCUACAGCUCUGAUUUGCCGCCUCGCCUGGGAAUUUCCAUAUGCCGCGGGGGCAGCCCUCAAACCCCGAAAUGAAUCGAUCAGUAAUGUCCUCCAGUUCUCUGUGCAUUGCUGCAAUGGGUAGGGUUUCCACCUUCUGUGGAAACGGAACGCCUUUCUGUUGUCUGUAUCCACCCCGUCGUCUUUCUCAGUGUGUGCGCCCGUGGACACUGAGGCUCUGUUUCUGUUGGGCUCUUGUGUAUGGCGCUGCCGUGAUCCUGGGGUGGCAGGUCUCUUUACCCGACACCGAUGGUUCUUCCUUUAGAUGGUCCACGCAGCGGUGGGAUUGCAGGGUCCCGUGAUAGGCCUAUGGCAGCUUUCCUGAGGACCUGCCAUCGUGUGUCCCGUCCUGGCUGGGCCAGCUGACCUUCCCUCCUACAGGGUACAGAAGUCCCAGGUAGUCACAUCUUCCCAAACACCUGUUCACGCUUGAAAACACUCCGCGUCCUGACAGGUGGGAGGUGAUACCUCAUUGUGCCUUUGCUUUGCCUUUCCGUUGUGGCAGGUGACUUUGGGAAACAUUCCCUGUGUGUGCGGCUCUCUGUUGUCGUCUUGGACGGAGGGUCUCUCCCAGGCUUCUGCUCAUCUACAACUGAGUUAUUUGCGUUUUGAUUCAGUUGACUUGUCGUUGUUUCCCAUAGAUUCUGGACAUGAGCCCUUGUUCCAAAUGUAAGGUUUGCAGAUAGCGUCUUCUGCGGGUUGUCUUUCCAUUCAGUGGCUCGUUAGACCCUGUCCUUUCUGUUGUCUCUGUGUUCAUUGAGGUGCCGAGUUGUUUCAUUUUCUGCUGUGUAGCAACAUUCCCCAGGCGUGUGUGUGCAUAAACACAGGUUCCUGUUUGACUGUUAUCGUCCGUCCCGGUCGAUUUCAGGAGAUCGGAUCUAGUUCCCCGUGCGCUGCAACAGGAGGACCUCGUCGUCUCUCCAUUCUCAAUGCCGUAGUUGGCAUCGACUCCCCCAAACUCCCAGUCCAUCGCCCUCACAACCACAAGUCUAUUCUCUGUGUCCGUGGGUUUUGUGGACAGGUUCCUUUGUGCCAUGGUUUAGAUUCCACAUCUAAGUGAGAUCAGGUGGUAUCCGUCUAUCUCUUUCUCACGUCCUUCGCUUUGUAUGAGAAUCUCUCGAUCCAUCCCUAUUGUUUUGAAGGGCAUCUGGGUUUCUUCUUUGAUUUUCUGGCUGAGUCGUGAAUUCCAUCGUAUAUGUGGACCACAUCGUCGGAUCCAUUCGUCUGUCUGGGACAUGAGGUGGCUUCCCUGUCUUGGCUGUUGUGAGUAGUGCCCCAUAAACACACAGGGGCAUAUAGUCUUUUGCCUGGAUACGUUUGUCCUGAUAUUUUCCAGGGCGCUCGCUCGACUUGCUGGGUGCCAUGCUGUGCUAUGUUCAGUUUUCGGAGGCCCCUCCGUGGUGUCUUCCGUAGUGGUUUGUACCAGUGUACAUUUGCACCGGCAGUGCUGGGGGGACGCCUUUUCUCCACCCGUGUCUGCGACCGACACCAAGCUCGCAGGCAGCGCUGGAUCCUUAACCCCCUCAGCGAGGCCAGGGAUCAACCCCGCAAGCUCGUGGUUCCUAGUCGGAUUCGUUUCUGCUGUGCCCCGACGGGACCUCCUGGGUCGUUUCGUUGUUGCUGCGGUGAGGUGUAUGAGUUUUCUUUAUGUAUGUUUUGGAGAGGAACCUCACGGGCAGUGGUACCUUUCUCCUCAGUGUUUCUGUAGAGCUGCUUGCAGUCCACAGUGUGGCAGCCACUGGCCAGAGGGAGCCAUUUAUGUUUUGAUUGAAUUCAAUCCGUAGUUAGGUCUGCCUCUUGCAGUGAACACAACAAAGCAGCCAGUGGUUCACUCACACACGCCACCCCGCAAGUGUGUCCAUGCAGCUUGAAUUUCAAACCUGGAGCUAGACCUCCAGAUGGACUCCUAGAAGGGUGACGUGUAAAGCUGCAUCCCUCAGCAGCCCACGAUCUUGGCAGGUUUGCCACUGUGACCAAUGUUUUAUUGAAGCUUCUGAGGCCGUAGAGCACAGGGAAGUUCCGAGCACACAGAGGACAAGCCAGGGCGGUGCUGUGUGGCCCCAAAACAACCUUAAGGAGACAUGAGUUGGGGGGCACGGUUUCUGACACCUUGAUUCCUUAUGUCUGUGUUCUCUGCCAGUGUGGAGCAUUGUGAGUCUGUGUGGCAGCAACCACGAAGAAAGUGAUACAGACUUGGUGGGAGAGCACCGACUGCCGCCAGGAUGAGGAGGCUGCAGACUCCACUGGGACACCUUAAAGCCUCAGCCUGGGACUGGAAGAGUCCAAACGUUUCCAUCUUGACCAGGAAACAAGAUCGACCUCACUCUUCAUCUAUUACGAGCCAACUUUAUAUUAAGUUCUGAUACAUGUUUACUACUUGGCAUUUAAGAUUUGGUAGAAUGUAAGAUUUGUGUAUUAAGUAAUCGUUAUCUAUCUAUUUGCUUUUAAACUAGUUUUUGAUAAGAUAAACACAUGUAUAGGAGAGCCCCUUAAGCAGAGGUAGAACUUAAUGUACUGGCGUCAGGCAGUCACCCUGGUGUCCACCACCAGGAUCACCCCCUGUCCUGUCACCCGCAUCAGUCCUGGCUGAAGAAGGGGACUGUGGAUUUAGUCCUGACCAUCUGCCCUCAGGCCAGUUACUUUCCAAGGAUUCUGUGGCCUCACGUCGGUUUGUACCUUUGACCAUGGGACCUCUGUCACACUCCCUCUUUCAGGAUGACGUGGAUGGCCGGGCCUUGCAUGCCCAGACCCUGGCUGCUGGAACAUCCCUAACUCACCCUCUCUCCUCGUGUCUCUAACAUGUUUCUUUACAUCCCGUGCCUCGAGACGGUAUUUUUAAACCAUAUAGAGUGACACCGAAUGGGGCACAGAUAAAACU